UAAAAAUUAGGCUUAGUGGUGAGAGCGCUUGGACGGUGUCCAAGAGGCGCAGGUUCAAAUCCCGCUAUAUUAA
rnacentral:tRNA from 1 species